CCGCCCUCCGCAACCGACGCUGCUAGCGCCAGCUGUUUACUCGUCCUUGUGCAGGGGUGUGUGGUGCUUGAAGGCGGGGUAGUCGAAGAUGUGGUCGGGCUCGCGCUCGGCCAGGGGGCCCUUGUUGGUGAUGACCUUGACGUGCGAGCCGUCGUUGAUCAGGCGGCCCUCCUCGCGGAAGAUCUUGAAGUCCUUGCGGGACAGGUUGGUGAAGCCCCUGUACAGGUGGAAGAGGGCGAGGACAGGAAAACAGCAAUACGCGAUCAGGCGCAAGAGGUUCGCUCAUGGUUGCCACGAGGGGAAAAGGCGGGCAUUUGCUCAUGCUACGCGUCCAUACAGCUAGAACGCCCUGCUACUGCUAGUUCUCAUAUAAGGAUGAGACAAAAUCGCGCCGAGCUCCUGCUGCACCGCUCGCUACUGAGUAUGGUAGUUGCUGCCCGCUGAUCCACCGGCCCUCAGGAACCCGCCUGCCCGACGCCAGUCACUUGCCCAUUUCUUAGUGUCAGAUCUAGCCAGCAGCGCUGUCAACUCACCAG
rnacentral:lncRNA from 1 species